CGCGUGCACUGGUCCGGCCGGGCCUUUCCCUCUGCGGAACCCCAUGCCCUUCACUGGGUGUGGCGGGGAAACAGGACUUUUACUUUGAAAAAAUUAGAGUGCUCAAGGCAGGCCUAUGCUCGAAUACAUUAGCAUGGAAUAAUAGAAUAGGACGUGUGGUUCUAUUUUGUUGGUUUCUAGGACCGCCGUAAUGAUUAAUAGGGACAGUCGGGGGCAUCAGUAUUCAAUUGUCAGAGGUGAAAUUCUUGGAUUUAUUGAAGACUAACUACUGCGAAAGCAUUUGCCAAGGAUGUUUUCAUUAAUCAGGAACGAAAGUUAGGGGAUCGAAGACGAUCAGAUACCGUCGUAGUCUUAACCAUAAACUAUGCCGACUAGGGAUCGGACGAUGUUACAUUUUUGACGCGUUCGGCACCUUACGAGAAAUCAAAGUGCUUGGGCUCCAGGGGGAGUAUGGUCGCAAGGCUGAAACUUAAAGAAAUUGACGGAAGGGCACCACCAGGGUGGAGCCUGCGGCUUAAUUUGACUCAACACGGGGAAACUCACCAGGUCCAGACACAAUGAGGAUUGACAGAUUGAGAGCUCUUUCUUGAUUUUGUGGGUGGUGGUGCAUGGGCCGUUCUUAGUUGGUGGAGUGAUUUGUCUGCUUAAUUGCGAUAACGAACGAGACCUUAACCUGCUAAAUAGCCCGUAUUGCUUUGGCAGUACGCUGGCUUCUUAGAGGGACUAUGCGG
rnacentral:rRNA from 1 species